rnacentral:sRNA from 1 species
CGGUUGCGAUCUGCGGGCAGAUGAAGUGGAUGUGGGUGUCCAGCCCGCCGGCGGUGAGGAUGCUGCCCUCGCCGGCGAUAGCCUCGGUGUUGACGCCGACAACCAUUCCGGGGGUCACGCCGUCCAUAACGUCGGGGUUACCAGCCUUGCCGAUGCCGACGAUCAUGCCGUCCUUGAUGCCCACGUCCGCUUUGUAUAUGCCGGUGUAGUCGACGAUGAGCGCGUUCGUGAUGACCGUGUCGAGGACGGCAGACGCGUCGACGCCGCACUGCUGACCCAUGCCCUCGCGCAA